UACGUAGGGUGCAAGCGUUAAUCGGAAUUACUGGGCGUAAAGGGCUCGUAGGUGGCCAACUAAGUCAGACGUGAAAUCCCUCGGCUUAACCGGGGAACUGCGUCUGAUACUGGAUGGCUUGAGUUCGGGAGAGGGAUGCGGAAUUCCAGGUGUAGCGGUGAAAUGCGUAGAUAUCUGGAGGAACACCGGUGGCGAAGGCGGCAUCCUGGACCGACACUGACACUGAGGCGCGACAGCGUGGGGAGCAAACAGG
rnacentral:rRNA from 1 species